CGGAGAGUAGCUCAGCCUGGUAGAGCACUGCUUUCGGGAGGCAGGGGCCGGAGGUUCGAAUCCUCUCUCUCCGACCA
rnacentral:tRNA from 45 species